rnacentral:rRNA from 1 species
CAAUGGGCGCAAGCCUGAUGACGCACGCCGCGUGGAGGAUGAAGGUCUUCGGAUUGUAAACUCCUGUUGCCCGGGACGAAAAGCUCUGACCUAACACGUCAGAGUCUGACGGUACCGGGUGAGGAAGCCCCGGCUAACUCUGUGCCAGCAGCCGCGGUAAUACAGAGGGGGCAAGCGUUGUUCGGAAUUACUGGGCGUAAAGGGCGCGUAGGCGGCGUGCUAAGUCGAACGUGAAAUCCCCGGGCUCAACCCGGGAACUGCGUCCGAGACUGGCAUGCUUGAAUCCGGGAGAGGGAUGUGGAAUUCCAGGUGUAGCGGUGAAAUGCGUAGAUAUCUGGAGGAACAUCGGUGGCGAAGGCGGCAUCCUGGACCGGUAUUGACGCUGAGGCGCGAAAGCCAGGGGAGCAAACGGGAUUAGAUACCCCGGUAGUCCUGGCCCUAAACGAUGAAUGCUUGGUGUGGCGGGUAUCGAUCCCUGCCGUGCCGAAGCUAACGCAUUAAGCAUUCCGCCUGGGGAGUACGGU